rnacentral:rRNA from 1 species
CCUACGGGCGGCAUCCUUGUGUAAUAUUGGACAAUGGGGGGAACCCUGAUCCAGCCAUGCCGCGUGUGUGAAGAAGGCCCUCGGGUUGUAAAGCACUUUCAGUGAGGAAGAACGCCUGGUGGUUAAUACCCAUCAGGAAAGACAUCACUCACAGAAGAAGCACCGGCUAACUCCGUGCCAGCAGCCGCGGUAAUACGGAGGGUGCGAGCGUUAAUCGGAAUUACUGGGCGUAAAGCGCGCGUAGGUGGCUUGAUAAGCCGGUUGUGAAAGCCCCGGGCUCAACCUGGGAACGGCAUCCGGAACUGUCAAGCUAGAGUGCAGGAGAGGAAGGUAGAAUUCCCGGUGUAGCGGUGAAAUGCGUAGAGAUCGGGAGGAAUACCAGUGGCGAAGGCGGCCUUCUGGACUGACACUGACACUGAGGUGCGAAAGCGUGGGUAGCAAACAGGAUUAGAUACCCGUGUAGUC